UACGUAGGUGGCAAGCGUUGUCCGGAUUUAUUGGGUUUAAAGGGUGCGUAGGCGGCCCUGUAAGUCAGUGGUGAAAUACUCUAGCUUAACUAGAGGGGUGCCAUUGAUACUGCAGGGCUUGAGUGGAGUCGAAGUAGGCGGAAUUGACGGUGUAGCGGUGAAAUGCUUAGAUAUCGUCAAGAACACCGAUAGUGAAGACAGCUUACUAGGCUUCUACUGACGCUGAGGCACGAAAGUGUGGGGAUCAAACAGG
rnacentral:rRNA from 1 species